rnacentral:rRNA from 1 species
UACGAAGGGGGCUAGCGUUGUUCGGAAUUACUGGGCGUAAAGGGCGCGUAGGCGGCCCGCCAAGUCGAACGUGAAAUCCCCGGGCUCAACCCGGGAACUGCGUCCGAUACUGGUGGGCUUGAAUCCGGGAGAGGGAUGCGGAAUUCCAGGUGUAGCGGUGAAAUGCGUAGAUAUCAGGAGGAACACCAAUGGCGAAGGCAGCUCGCUGGGACGUGACUGACGCUGAGACGCGAAAGCGUGGGGAGCAAACAGG